CUCCCACCUGAACAGGACGAUUGAACUUUGCUUUGGUAAGGGAUGACUUGCUGGAAGAUGAAAAGCCUUGUGGUGGAACAUGAGUGGAGCUCUUCACAGCUUCCCAGGCGUUGCUGGUGCAGCAUGGGGCAGAGGGUGUGGUACAGCAAUGAUACAAGAGACAUCUUGGAAGAGGCAAAGCUUGAGACAGGUCUUCAAGGACUGGUAACAUCUGGACAGGUUGAAGAGCAGUAGGAGGGCUUUCAGAUGUGGAGAAUGACAUGCACAAAAGCACGGAGCAACACUUUAUGCCAGUUGGAUUAUGGUCCAGUGGGAGAAAGAUCAAUUAAGGUGAAACCACUGUAGAGAAAGCACUGGAG